AUAAACAAUUUUGUUUAUUCCCCUAAGAUUCCUCAAGAAAUAUGAGACAUUUCUGAACUUGGACUUUGACAAGCCUUAGAGGGAGCAAACUGAAUAAAAAAGGUCUCUAUUGCUGUGCGUGGACUUGCUCCAGUUGCGGUGUCCUGCAUCCCCAAGGUACAAUGAGGAGCAAGAAGCAUGAUACUCAGCACUUGGCUGCAAGGUGCUGAUGAUCUAGGUAAACACACACACAGACCACUGACUAAUGUCUGGGUGAGCUGGCCCUCUUC